rnacentral:rRNA from 8 species
UUGACCUCGAAUCAGGUAGGAAUACCCGCUGAACUUAAGCAUA